UACAGAGGUCUCAAGCGUUGUUCGGAUUCAUUGGGCGUAAAGGGUGCGUAGGUGGCGGGGUAAGUCAGGUGUGAAAUCUCGGAGCUCAACUCCGAAACUGCACUUGAUACUGCCUUGCUCGAGUACUGGAGAGGAGAUUGGAAUUUACGGUGUAGCAGUGAAAUGCGUAGAUAUCGUGAGGAAGACCAGUGGCGAAGGCGGGUCUCUGGACAGUUCCUGACGCUGAGGCGCGAAGGCCAGGGGAGCAAACGGG
rnacentral:rRNA from 1 species